rnacentral:rRNA from 1 species
UACGAAGGGUGCAAGCGUUACUCGGAAUUACUGGGCGUAAAGCGUGCGUAGGUGGUUCGUUGUGUCUGUGGUAAAAGCCCCGGGCUUAACCUGGGAAUGGCCAUGGAAACUGGCGAGCUGGAGUGUGGCAGAGGGGGGUGGAAUUCCGCGUGUAGCAGUGAAAUGCGUAGAGAUGUGGAGGAACACCAGUGGCGAAGGCGGCUUUCUGGUCUGUAACUGACGCUGAGGCGCGAAAGCGUGGGGAGCAAACAGG